ACGCGGUCCUCGCCCGAGUACCGAUGGAAGAUGUCCUCCAGCUCUGGGCGCUUCAGCAGCCGCCGCAGGAACUCCUCGAUCUCAGCCCCCUCCAGCCGCUCAUUGUUGGACCGGUCACACUCCUGGGGAGCAGGGGGAGACACUCAGAGCAGGGGACCCAUUGACAUGCCCUCGUCUAGCACAGCUGGGAAGGCGACAUCCCCCUUUUCACAGGUGGAGAAACUGAAAUCAAGACUCUGGCCCCUCCAGGUCCCACUGCUGGUAAAUUGCAGGACCGCGUCUUAAGGAAGGUCUCAGGUCAGUGUCUGUCCCUCUGUACCAUGGCCUGCCCCAGAACCAAGACGUGGGAGGAAAAACGGCAACCCUGGGCCACAAGACCCCCCCUACAUGGACACAUUACCAUCCUCACGCUCACAUACUCACACCCAGGGUAGAAGAGCGACACCUGAACGAGAACCCAUGGAGCAGUCCCUGUGGAGCUGUGGCCCAAGUGUCCGGGUCCCAUGGUCUUUGCUGUCUUUCAGGGUCAUAGGGUGGUCACAGUCAGCAUCUACGCAGGUGUCUGCCAUGUGCUCCACUGGGCCUAGAUGCAGGGCCCACCCCUGUGUGCCUCUGUGCCCCCAUGCAGGAGGUGUUCAUGGUCACGUGGGAGGUGCACGGAGGAGAGUGUGCGUGUAGUCUGUGUGCACAUGUGUGUCUGCAGGCUGACUCCCCCCCGUGCUACCGGGUGCAAAAGGUGCCCUGCAGACUUAGAGAAGCGAAAACAACUUGGCUGCUCACUUUGGAGGGGCGGGAAGGUGCCACUCUACUGCUGGUGAAAGAAGAAUUUCUGGAUGGCCAUUCCCCAAUUCCAUCCUGGCCCAGUGGCCUCAGGGGAGGGAAAAAAGGGCCAAGGCUUGUGAUUCUUUCAAGCCUGGAGCCCAAGAACUGGGCCAACACUUCAAAGUCCAGCUGUGGAUAGGACCGUGACAGGAGGACGGUGCUGGCCUCACCCUGCAGGCCAUCCCGGGACCGGCUGCUCCCAUCUCCCAGCCUCCCAAACCCAGGCCUUCACCUUGCAGUGAGCUUCGCCGCCCCUCGCAGGCCUCCCUUCCUCUCCUUACUGUAACCAGCCACCAUCACUGGGUUUGGCUUUAGGCUUUGGGGCCCAGGGUGGGGAUGGAGGUGGGUCCCAGUAAGAGGCCUUCCCUCUCCAGUUCUGAGCAGUGGUCCCUGCAGCCCUUCAGCCAGUGCCUGGGACUCAGGCCUCACUAAAGGUCACCCUUUCUGCCACCCUCCUCUACCAUGGCCUCCAGCCUUCAAGCCCAGAAUCUGCCACCAACAGCCUUUUCCCUUGGUGUGAAACUGUGGCCAUCAGGAAAGUAGUCUCACUAUCUAACCUAAAUCUUUCUUGCUGCAACCCAAGCACCUCUCUUCUGCUUUCCCAAAGACAUGGGAGGACAACAGAGGCCACCUUGGCUCCAGGGUCACAGGCCACAGACUCCAGGACCAGCCCUGCCUGGCUGAUCUCCAGGUGUCCUCUUUGUGCCCUGGUGGGGCCCUGCUGAAAGGAAGGUCUUCCAUGACAUUUGGUGAUCCCUCUUGCUAGGCCACUGCCACAACCCCUACGACCCCUCAGUCCACAUGCCCUCUCCAGCCACUGUCCACCUUCCUUAAUAAAAGCAAAUGCUCACAAAGCA